rnacentral:misc_RNA from 1 species
GAUGAAGAACGCAGCGAAAUGCGAUAAGUAAUGUGAAUUGCAGAAUUCAGUGAAUCAUCGAAUCUUUGAACGCACCUUGCACCCUUUGGACUGCUCCAAAGGGUAUGCUCGUUUGAGUGUCAUUGUACUCUCACACUCUCUGAUCCUUUGGAUUUGGGGAGCAGUGGACUUGGGUGCUUGCUGCUUCCUUGUGGCUCACCUGAAAUGCAUCAGUGCAUCUCUCGAUUGGACAUAGUACGGCGUGAUAAGUGUCUUCGCCGGCACCUCAUAUGAGGGUGGCCGAUCGGGANCUCUGUGCUUUCAAACCGUCUUCGGACAACGCUGACAACUUGACCUCAAAUCGAGUAGGACUACCCGCUGAACUUAAGCAUAUCAAUAAGCGGAGGA